UUCUCCUCCUCACUAUUCUCACGAUCCAGGUCUGUCCACAUAGGCGUUGUCUACAUAGGAAUUGUUUACAUAGAGUUGUAUGUAGAAUGUUGAUUAACCAACUAUCCAGCUCCAUGUUCUGGGAGCUUAAUGCUUUUGAUAAGAUCUUGACUAACCCCACGAUAAAUGAGAUAAUAUAGGGCCUUUACUGCCAUUUUAAAAGAGUUUUUUUUUUGGAUGGACCCUAAGUGUCCCAUAUCCUAUGAUUCACUCUUGUUGAUAGGUAGGAAGACUAAGGCUUUGCAGAGUGUCUCAGAAGAAUAGAGGAAAAAUUUUAUGAAGUCCAUGGCCUUGAUCAUACCUAUAUUUCAGGGUCAUUCAAUCAUGUCAUAAGAUUUCCCAAAAAUCAAUCUCAAUGAAGAGGGUCUUGAAAUCAAGGAAACAUUUGAGGGCAUUCCAUAAAAUUUUCCCCUUCAAGAAAUAUCACAGACAACCUUCCAUCCAAAGUCAACAAAAUUGAAACCCAUUUUUUAGAGUUGUUGGUGCCUCAUCCUAUAACUGAUGACACCGUUAGGAAAUCCGGACAUGUCAUUGGGGGCCCCAGGAAGAGUUAUCUUUUCAUUUUAGCAGCUUGCCCACCCUGAAAUUGGCUCAACCGGAGAUAGGGUCCAGCAGCUAGAAGAGCAUCACACGUCUUGCAAUGUCUAGUGCUCCCUCGACGACCCUUGAAAAUAUGGAGGACCGAGUACCAUCCAUGCUCGAUCAUACUCAUAACCGCAUCAGGUCUCCAGGGUGAACAACCUCUGGUCAAUAGAACAAUGUAGGUAAGGUAAUUAGGAAAAAUGGAUCUGUAACUUCAGGAAAAGGAUUGGCUCUAAGGGUUGGGCCUAGGGGUCUGUGUCCUCAACCCAUGGGCUAUCAACAGUCUUACCAUGGGACUUGUUGUUCCAAGGUCUGUAAUUAAGGCUUAGAAGUACAAUGUCUAGGCAUCCGAAAGUGGGUAAAGGGUGGAGAAGAGAGAAACAUCAACCUUCGGCAAAGGAAACUAGGGAAGAUUUCUACGUCGGCAUUAUCUAGCUUCCAACUGUUCCUAGAUGGUUAUAUCUUUUUCAAUCGUUUCCCAUGAACGUUCAAGUUCAACCCGGGUAGUAGU
rnacentral:ncRNA from 1 species